GACGAACGCUGGCGGCGUGCUUAACACAUGCAAGUCGAACGGAAAGGCCCUGCUUGCAGGGUACUCGAGUGGCGAACGGGUGAGUAACACGUGGGUGAUCUGCCCUGCACUUCGGGAUAAGCCUGGGAAACUGGGUCUAAUACCGGAUAGGAGCCAUUUUUAGUGUGAUGGUUGGAAAGUUUUUUCGGUGUGGGAGGAGCUCGCGGCCUAUCAGCUUGUUGGUGGGGUAAUGGCCUACCAAGGCGGCGGCGGGUAGCCGGCCUGAGAGGGGGGGGGGCCACGUUGGGACGGGGGCAAGGGCCAGACCCGUCCGCGGGCGGGAAGUGGGGAGGGUGGCGAAAGGGGCGGGGUCCUGAUGCAGCAGCGCUGCGUGGGGGAGGUUGUCCUCCGGGUGGUAAACAGGUUGCACCUGUGAAGAACCGUGAGGGAGGGUAGGGAGUAAAGAAGCCACGGCUAACUAGAUG
rnacentral:rRNA from 1 species